GGAAGGACCAACAGCUCACUGCUACUUGGAGGCUCCCGACAGAGGCCGUCCAUUCCCGCAAGUACAGAGCUUUAAACGAAGACUCCUUCUCUGUCUGCAUGGGCUGAAAUGCCACGUCAGACCCUACCACCCGCUGGCUCUAACAGAACUUUAGCUGGAAUCUAAUGUCCGGUACUGGAACCUGAGGGGCAUCAAUGAGGUUGUCCCCCUCACUUGCUGCUGCUGUCUCCACAUCUAAUCCUAGAUCUCCCUCCUCCCCUGGUGAGUCCCCGGGGUCUUCUAGACUCUGUCUGUCUAUACUGGAAAUUUUAGUAAGUCACAAGUUCCAUGGGGCUUGGACUGUCCCUUCACCUGCUGGGUCCAGCGAUACUUGUUCUCAGUCUCUAUUUACUACUUACUGGUGGUCUGGCCACACUUCAGGAAGGAUGCUGGUCUCCCUUGCUUUUCCCCUAGUCUAGUGGUUCUCAACAUGUGGGUCGGGACCCCAUUGAGGUCACAUAUCAGAUGUCUUAUGUAUCAGGUGUUUACAUUAUGACUCAUAACCGUAUCAAAAUACUGAAGUAGCAAUGAAAUAAUUUUAUGGCUGUGGGUCACCACAACAUGAGGAACUGUUUUAAGGGGUCACAGCGUUAGGAAGGUGGGGAGCCAUUGUUCUAGACCCUCUUGACCAGGGCUCAUGAUGGCAUUGCUCAGUUUCAUGUGUCUAAGGACUCUCCUCAUCUGCUUUCUGCAUGACCUCUACAUGACCCUGCAUGACCUCUACAUGACCUCUACGAACUUCAUCCUGAAAUUUUCUUUAGCAAUUCCUCAAAUCCUGAGUUUCUUUAGCAACACUGACCACAAUGCAAGUAGCCUGGAAAAACAGCUCCUUUGAUUUAAACAUUCCUAGAUCACAUCACACCAUGCAAAGCAGGUGACCCGAGACCCCUUACACUUGGGCAUCCUUCCUCUCCCAUAGCUCCCCUCUGUCAGUCUGGGGCCACAUUCCAAAUUAUAAAAGGAUCCAUCCAUUCCUAUGGCACCAGUUUUUUAUUUUUGUUUUUGUUUUUGUUUUUGUUUUUCUGUAAGAAGUUGCCUCUGUUCACAGCGACUGCUCUCACUGAAACUCUCAAAGCAAAUUUGAUCUGGUCAGUUCCUUCACUACCAGGCCUUGAGCUACUCCCAUCAUACGAGAACAUUAUAGAGGGUGAGUGCCUGGGUGUAGGCAGGUAUAUGCUGG
ensembl:lncRNA